rnacentral:rRNA from 1 species
AUGGCUUGCAUACAUGAAGGCUAUCUCCAACAUUGCUUGAUUUGCAGUUUAUUCCCAGGCUUGAAACAGUGGCAUAUAGUAUUAUCUUACAGAACAAUAGAUGAUUCCGCUUUCAGAGAGCUGAUCAUACCUAUCUUGCUCGAUUUGAUGUUGUUCCGUGUGUUACUUUGUACCUCUCGACACAAUGAAUAUGAAGGAGAGGCACUCCAAGAGUUCAUGUUUAAUUACAAGAUCUAUAGCUAUUUCGUUUACAUUAGGAGCAGUACCAAUCUGUUUCUAAUUCAGGUUAAACUAGGAACAUCUAUGGAAGGAUAA